rnacentral:sRNA from 1 species
UAGAGGAAGUAAAAGUCGUAACAAGGUUCCGUAGGUGAACCUGCGGAAGGAUCAUUAUAGAAAAAGCUUGAACAGGCUGUUUGCUGGCUCUCAAGGGAGCAUGUGCACGCUUGUCAUCUUUAUUUCUCCAACUUGUGCACCUUUUGUAGACCUGGAGGUUUUUUAUAUGGAUUGCCGUUCGAAUGAGGACUGCUGCAUAGUCAGCUUUGCCUUGCAAUUCUCCAGGACUAUGUUUUCCACAACCACUUGUUCAGAAUGUAACCUAUAAAGUUAAAAAUUAUAUACAACUUUCAGCAACGGAUCUCUUGGCUCUCGCAUCGAUGAAGAACGCAGCGAAAUGCGAUAAGUAAUGUGAAUUGCAGAAUUCAGUGAAUCAUCGAAUCUUUGAACGCAUCUUGCGCUCCUUGGUAUUCCGAGGAGCAUGCCUGUUUGAGUGUCAUUAAGUUCUCAAACCAUGCCAGUUUUCUCUGGUUAUGGCUUUGGAUUUGGGGGGGUUUAUCCUUUUGCUGGCUUUAGAAAUGAAGUCAGCUCCCCUGAAAUGCAUUAGUAGUAUCUAAGCAGAAACUACCACAGGUGUGAUAAAUUAUCUAUGCCUUGGUAUCAACUGCAUGCACUGCUUUCUCUAACAAAAAUGUUUGACAAAUUGACCUCAAU